UGGUGUUAUUUCCGACGUUGCCAGCGGAAUUAUCACGAGAGAUUGGAGAUCGGGGUUCAAAUGGAGAAAAGAAGAUGUUGAGGCAUUUUCUGGAGAACGGGGUUCAAAUGGAGAAAGGGAGAUGUUGCGGCAUUUUCUGGAGAACGGGGUUCACAUUGGCGAUCGCGAGUUAUCGUCAGGCGACUGGGGUUCAAACUGGAGAAUGGGGUUCAUUAUGUGGCAAACAGGAGAGCGGGGUUCAAAUGCGGUGAUCCGAGGAUCAUUUGCGCAAGAGAAAAUUCUGGGGUUCAAGAAAAUGGAAAAAAUAGAGAAAACUUCGGGGUUCAAGAAAAGCAUAAAAAGAAAAAGAAUAAUAAUCCCGAGCGGAUGUGGCGUUCGGGCCGUGGUUGUCCCUGUGUUACCAUUUAUUUUGGUAUCCAGGUCGACGUUGCUGUUUCGGUGAUUAGGCCGACUUUCUCCGUUCCAG
rnacentral:lncRNA from 1 species